AACGAACGCUGGCGGCAUGCCUAACACAUGCAAGUCGAACGAACCCUUCGGGGUUAGUGGCGCACGGGUGCGUAACGCGUGGGAACCUGCCUUUAGGUCCGGGAUAACAGUUGGAAACGACUGCUAAUACCGGAUGAUGUCUUCGGACCAAAGAUUUAUCGCCUUUAGAUGGGCCCGCGUUGGAUUAGCUAGUUGGUGGGGUAAAGGCCUACCAAGGCGACGAUCCAUAGCUGGUCUGAGAGGAUGAUCAGCCACACUGGGACUGAGACACGGCCCAGACUCCUACGGGAGGCAGCAGUGGGGAAUAUUGGACAAUGGGCGAAAGCCUGAUCCAGCAAUGCCGCGUGAGUGAUGAAGGCCUUAGGGUUGUAAAGCUCUUUUACUGGGGAUGAUAAUGACAGUACCCAGAGAAUAAGCUCCGGCUAACUCCGUGCCAGCCGCCGCCGUAACAC
rnacentral:rRNA from 1 species